rnacentral:tRNA from 1 species
UGGGGAUGUGGUUCAGUGAUAGAGCGUUUGCCUGGCACACAUGGGGUCCUGGAUUCAAUUCCCAGCACUUAA